CAGAGUGGCACAUUCACAUAGAACAGCCCCUGUAGCUACAGCUCUACUGUUUCCAGGCCUGUUGCUGAUAGAAUACGUGCAUCCACAUGGCCCGAAAAGCAAGGUGCUGGCAAGGAUCAGCGCUUUGGCCCCACUGUCUACAGUCUUAUCCAUUUGGCGCCUGCUGUAGCACUCUCACAUUACCAGCAGUGGGUUCUGGUUUUGACUGUGAAAAGCUAUAGAGAAACCAUCAGAACAUGGAAGAUGUUGCAUCCUAUCACCACCCCUCCAGCUGAUGGGAAGAACUGGUUUGUGAGUGAAAAUAAACUGCAAUUUGGGAAGCCAAAACCUGGGUAGAGCUGUCCCUGGAACUGUUGGAGAUGAACUUCCAGUGCAUCGACCUUUUGCACCAACUGUCCUAAUGACCAGUAGGGGCAUUGGGAGUAGAGACACUUCUGCCCUCUCGAUUCACCUUGCUCGUGCACAUCAACAGACAGAGGGAAAGAUCUGACCAGAAGACUGAAGGAGCAAAGUAAUCCACAAGUACUUACAUUGGAUCCACCUGUAUCAGCUGGCUUGUCACUUCUAAAGAGGCUUGAAAGGUAAAAAGAAAGAACAAAAGCUUCAAAAUCAGGCCACACAGCGUUAACAAGCUCCUACAAGAAAAGCAGCUUCUCAUCAUUAGAGUUUCUUCCAGUCUUUCAGCUCUAAACCAGAAGUCUUCAGAUGUUCUGCCUGCAGGGAAUCCUUUCCAUACUGACUUGUUUACCAAGAAACUUCUGUACAUCUGCUGCAACAGAACCCUUGCAUAUUACAAAGAUUCUGAGGAAUGCCCUAGGGUGGGAUGCUGGCCAGGCCUGCUGGACUCACGUUCACCCCAUUGAGGGCAUUGAGGGUUUGACUAAAAUACUCUAGAAGUGAUUAAUAGUAGAACAUACAAUCCAGGAGAAGCUUAGUCAUGGAUGAAAAACAUUUUUUAGGCAAGUUUGUUCAUUAUUCUUGUGUUUUCAUUGAGGAAUCCUUCAAACAGUUCCAGGGAUACUCUGGAAAACAAGGCUGCUUCUAUAUGAAUUAUGUGUGGGAAACUAUGUGGGUCAGUUCUCAAUCAAGUCCUCUUGAAGCACCAUUCCACUGGCAUCUAAAACAGAAGCAGGAUCCAGGAGCUGUCAGAGGCAAGAAGACCACAGGCUUGGUACUACUGCUCAUGCAAGAUAUAAUGUCAUUUAUGUUGGAACUCUCACGUUUUUCCAAGAAUGAACAAGAAGCAAGAUUAAGAAUUUUGACUUACAGGUCUGAAACUUGAGGAUCAUGACACUUUUAAUUUAUAUAUAUAUUGCAUGUUUGCAGAAUAAAUCUGUCUAAUGACAUCUAGGGAUGAUAUCAGUUGUGGAAGUAACUGUAGUGUCCACAGCAGGAGGCAACAGGAUAUGCUGAACAAUGUCAGAGGAAGGACUUGUUGGCAGAUUGAUGAAGAACUCUGAGGUAGUUCUGUAUGCGUCAGUAAACACAGAGUUAAGAUCAGCAAGGGGAUUCAUCUACUUGAGGAGUCACUCCGCCUCCAUUAAUGGUUAUGCCAGUCUCUCUCUCUCUCUCUCUCUCUUCAAGUAACUUGUAGAAUAUACUUAUUGGCAAACUUAAUAUAUAUUGGAUCUAUUUCUUUGGCCCACUAAGCCAGUAACCUUCAGUCUUUUGAGGCCCAGAACCCCGCUUUAACUUGAACUGUAAAGUAGGAUGCACUUUUCCUCAAAAAUGUAUUUUAUGUAACUACUAACUUAAAUUAAUAUGCACCCCCACACACAAAUCCCUCCAAUGAAUAGAAUUAUUAAUCAUAUACAUACUCAUAACAUAUUCUUAUAGUCUUAACUAAACAAAUAGAAUGA